rnacentral:rRNA from 1 species
UGGGGAAUUUUCCGCAAUGGGCGAAAGCCUGACGGAGCAAUACCGCGUGAGGGAGGAAGGCUUUUGGGUUGUAAACCUCUUUUCUUAGGGAAGAAGAAAGUGACGUUACCUAAGGAAUCAGCAUCGGCUAACUCCGUGCCAGCAGCCGCGGUAAUACGGAGGAUGCAAGCGUUAUCCGGAAUUAUUGGGCGUAAAGCGUCCGCAGGUGGCACUUCAAGUCUGCUGUCAAAGACCAGAGCUCAACUCUGGGCAGGCGGUGGAAACUGGGGAGCUAGAGUACGGUAGGGGUAGAGGGAAUUUCCAGUGUAGCGGUGAAAUGCGUAGAGAUUGGAAAGAACACCAGUAGCGAAGGCGGUUCUCUGGGCCUGUACUGACGCUGAGGAGCGAAAGCGUGGGGAGCAAACAGGAUUAGAUACCCGCGUAGUCC